GUUGCUGGUUGAAAUAUUUCCAGUGAAAGGUGGGGGGUGGGUUGUUUAAAACAAUGGCAUUUUUAAAAGAAAAAAAAAAAACUUUUUUGUGAAAAUAUGUCACACUUUUAGUAUAAAUGCCAUCCUUUUUUUCUGAAAUUUAACCCCAAAUGUUCUUGCUAUCAAGGAAGCCUUUCUAGAAGUGGAUUUGGUGAAUCAUUCUGGUCCAGGCCCAGCAGGGUAUAAAAGGGGACUCCCUGAGAGACCAGGGAGCCAGCAACCAAGAAGCCAGUGAACAGGGGUUGCAAACAGGGUAGGCAGUUUGCAGGGAGCAAUAGGAGGAAGGGGAAGAUAAGCCAGGCACCAGGUACCAGAUCCUGCCCAGGGAAGAACAACCAGAAAGAUUUUUUACCUCCCUGGCUGCCAUGUGACACCUCUAGGAAGGAAUUUUACUUAAUCUACAUACCAAAGAGCAACUCAGCACAACUCUCAGACACUCUCAUGGAGGAUGAAGAUCCUUCAAUCCAAGAAGAAGGAUCGCUAGGAAGAGAUGAGAUCCACCUGGCAAAGAGAGGGAAGAGCAUCUUCACAGCCAGGCUCACCUCCUCCUGGUGAGGAGGACUGACUCUUUGCACAAGUAUAUCUGUGGGGAGGGUUUCGGAGCUGGCUCAGGAAUCCUGUGUUUGGGCAGAUUUCCCUUUGAGAAUUCACUGUUUUCAAAGCAUCUACAAGUGUCAUAUCUUCAUGGAUCAUUAAAAAGGCAAGCACAAGAGAUGCUGAGCGGCUUAUCCCCAUGGCACAAUGGACAAACACUUUACCUGCAAAGAAAUAGAGAACACAAUCUGGUGGGCUU